UACGGGAGGCAGCAGUGGGGAAUAUUGCACAAUGGGCGCAAGCCUGAUGCAGCCAUGCCGCGUGUAUGAAGAAGGUCUUCGGGUUGUAAAGUACUUUCAGUCGUGAGGAAGGUGUUAAGGUUAAUAACCUUAGCAAUUGACGUUAGCGACAGAAGAAGCACCGGCUAACUCCGUGCCAGCAGCCGCGGUAAUACGGAGGGUGCGAGCGUUAAUCGGAAUUACUGGGCGUAAAGGGCACGCAGGCGGUUAAUUAAGUUGGAUGUGAAAUCCCCGGGCUUAACCUGGGAAUGGCAUUCAAGACUGGUUAGCUAGAGUCUUGUAGAGGGGGUAGAAUUCCAUGUGUAGCGGUGAAAUGCGUAGAGAUGUGGAGGAAUACCGGUGGCGAAGGCGGCCCCUGGACAAAGACUGACGCUCAUGUGCGAAAGCGUGGGGAGCAAAC
rnacentral:rRNA from 1 species